GCACUCUGUAAUCAGCCAGUGCUGCCAAUCAAAUGUUUCAGUGACAGUUCAGUUGACAGCUGUGCUCGUAUGGCCCUCCAAUUUUUAGAGUAGAAAAUAAAUAGCAGAAUCGCAUUAAACAGUUUUAAGAAUGGCCGCUGUUUUCCGUGUGGGCAUUGUGCGCCUAUGUGGCCGUAAUGCAAGUCCAGUAUUGCUGAAUACGCAGGCAACUUCUCCAAUGGCUUUAACGCAAAAAGCUUCCAUCAUGGGUAAAUCUAUGCGAGGUGGUCCACGGGUACCCAAAGAAUCCCCAUAUCCCUACAAAGAUAAGCGAUAUACUGUUCUUAACUCGUUUUUCGACAAAACAUCAAAACGCAUGGAUGAGAACUCUAAAGUCAUAUGUGUUGAAGGACCGAUCGGUGCGGGCAAAAGUAAAUUUGCGAAAGAAUUGGCAGAUGAACUGGAAAUGUGUUAUUUUCCUGAAGUCAACAUGGAUUUGCUUUACAUCAAUUCCUAUGGCUAUGAUAUGCGCAAGUUGGACCCCCAAUUGCCUGAACUGUGCCGUUCAUAUGAUGUGUCCAACUUUUGCCGAGAACCCAAUCAUCCUUUGGCUGCCCAGUUCCAAAUCCGGAUGUACAUGCUGAGGUAUUCACAAUAUAUUGAUGCCUUACAACAUGUGCUUUCUACCGGUCAAGGUGUUGUUUUGGACCGCAGCUGCUAUUCGGACUUCGUGUUCCUGGAAGCAAUGCAUAAGAACGGAUACAUUUCGCGUGGUGCCCACUCUGUAUAUUAUGAAAUUCGCCAAAAUACAAUUGACGAACUUCUAAAACCGCAUUUGGUUAUCUACUUGGACUGCCCUGUUGAUGCUGUUAAGCAACGCAUUAAAGCUCGUAAUGUGGAUUAUGAAGUUAAUUCGAAGGUUUUCACUGAUGCCUACCUAAAGGAUGUUGAAACGUUUUAUAAACAACAUUUCCUUAAGGAUAUAAGUAGCCACGCUGAAAUCUUGGUGUACGAUUGGACUGCUGGUGGUGAGACCGAAGUUGUAGUUGAAGAUAUCGAACGUAUUGAUUUUGGACAGUUCGAAGUUGAUCACCACAAUAAAAAAAUGAAGGAUUGGCGUUUCCCGCUCGAAGCUGAAUGGUGCGAGGCCCGUAUCAAGUACUGUAACGAAAAAAGCACUUUGUUGAACUAUUUCAAUGUGCCACGUUACGACGUACCUGAACUGGUGCGCGACGCUGACAGCAGUAAAGUUUGGCGUGAUGUUUGGUACAACGCACCUGGCAUGAAAUAUCGCGCAGGUUACAAUGAGGAUAUGGGAGAUACCGGUUUGUUUACCAAAACAACAAUUGGCGUCAAUCAACCGCUGUAAGCGGUCCUCAAUUAUUUGUUAGUAAAAUAUGAAUAAACAAGAAAAUAAUAACGGAACGAAAACCUGUGUUGAAUAAAAAGAAAAUAACGGAUAGAAAAGCUGUGUUAGUAUUGAAAUGAAAUGAAGUUAGUUAAAUGAAGAAAUGAAAAGGUUUAAGAACAAGAAUAAGUUAUUCAACAUAUUUUAAAUAAUAAGUAAUUGAGCAUAUAUAACACAAAACAAAAAAAUUAAAACUUUCAUCUGCAUAUACAAAUAUAUCAUCAAUAUACCAACAA